UGUAUUCUCUUUUAAAAUAUAUACUCCUCCAAAAUUGAAAAGUCCAUCUCUGUAGAUAGAGAAAUACAGCGGCUCGAAAGAAGAAUCAAUAGAAUUAGAGAGAGCGAGAGAGCGCUACGAAAAUGUCAGAGCAUGAGAUAUUAUAGACAAUGAGAGAUGAGCGGAGAGACGGAAAGAAUCGAGAAGAUGAUGCACAGCGGGUACAACGGUUAUGGAAACGGGGUGAUGACGUCGGCAUCGGCGGCGACGACGCCCAUGGCCAUGACGUUGUCUUCAUCCUCGACAAAUGCGCAAUCUCGGGGCCUGAAGACGUACUUCAAGAAUCCAGAGGGACGCAUCUGCAUUUUGAUUUCCUUUGGAGAAUACCUUAUUGAUUUCCGAGAACUUAAAAGUGACAAGAAGGACGAGGAUUUCUCCCCGCGUGCUUUCGAUGCCGAAGAACAGUUCCAGUGAGAGUCUAACGUACAAGGAUGCUGGCGUGGACAUAGAUGCUGGCUCUGAACUUGUUCGUAGAAUUGCCAAAAUGGCACCGGGAAUUGGUGGCUUUGGUGGACUUUUUCCUCUUGGUGAUUCAUACCCUGUUGCCUGUACGGAUGGCGUGGGAACUAAACUUAAACUUGCAUGUGAAACUGGAAUCCAUGAAACUAUUGGGAUUGACCUGGUUGCGAUGAGUUCAACGACAUUUUACUUCUGGAGCAAAGCCAUUAUUUUUCCUUGAUUACUUUGCUACUAGCCACCUUGAUGUUGACCUUGCUGAAAAGGUUAUAAAAGGAAUUGUUGAUGGUUGCCAACAAUCUGAUUGUGCUCUUUUAGGAGGCGAGACUGCAGAGAUGCCAGAUUUUUAUGCUGACGGUGAGUAUGACCUCAGUGGUUUUGCGGUUGGCAUUGUGAAAAGAGAUUCAGUAAUUAAUGGGAUGACCUUGUGGCUGGAGAUGUCCUUGUUGGUCUGCCAUCCAGUGGUGUUCACUGUAAUGGUUUCUCUCUUGUAAGAAAGUUAGUAUUAUUUUCAAACGUUUCCACUUUUCUGUUAUUGUUAUAUGUCAAAAUGAAAAGGCUUCCGCAAAUGAAAUUAUAACUAUGGGUGAAGCGUUUAUCUAUGUCAAUUGCUGAUAUGUAUAGUGACUUCUCAGCGUUCUAGCUCGAAGUGGCUUUUCUUUGAAGGACAAACUUCCUGGUGAAGAUGUUUCAUUAGGUGAAGCUUUGAUGGCCCCAACUGUUAUCUAUGUUAAGCAGGUUACUUGUUGCCCUCCCUCUAUAAUGCUUCAUAUUGUCUUGUUAUCUAGACUGAAAAAUGCUUUUUCCCCCUUUCCUUCCAAAUUAUAUGCUUGGCUUGAUUAGCAAGGGUGGGGUAAAGGGGAUUGCCCACAUCACAGGUUGUGGUUUAACUGACAACAUACCUCGAGUGUUUCCAAAAGGCCUUGGAGCUGUAAUCCGUAAGAACUCCUGGGAAGUCCCAACUCUGUUUAAGUGGAUUCAAGAGGAACAAGAUGAAGAUUCUUUGUUGGAGCAAUAGAGGUAUGGAUUUAUUUAUUCUAUUGUGCUUGAAUAAUUUCUAAUAUUGGUAUCAAACAACGCGUUGCUUUUCUUAGUCAAACCUUUGAUAACUCAAAUUAGCAAUGCACACCAGUCAAAAUAUGAUCGUACUCGUACAUUAAAUAGAAAAACAAAGACAAAAACCAACACCACAAAUCCACAACCAUGAACAAUUCAAGACAACAAAAUCCAAUACCAUGGAUUCAUGACAUCCCCACCACCGCAAACAAUACUCAAAAUCAAAGCAUACCACUAUAGUCACACCACCACCACAACAAAUAAUAUUUAAAGCUUCAAAAUCAACAAUACCACAAAUAAUAUUUAAAACUACAAAUAUACUAACUCCACUAAUGAAGUACAACAAAUCCAACACCACUGCUCAACAUAAGCUACAAAUCUACUAAAAAUUAUUCUAUCGUUAUGUUUUUAACGUGACAAUGUUUUAUUUGACAUCGACUUCUGAUAAUGUUGCUGCGUCCACAUGAUCGAUACAAAUGUAGAGUAGCAUUGUGGAUUAGAGUUAGUUUUUUAAUAUUCAUAAAUUUUGAGUAUACAAUGAUUUAGAGUUUGGAAUGUAAUUCUUAUGGAGUGGGCUAUGGAUUUAGUGGGCUCUCCACCUUCGGAAAAAAAAUACUUUGAUGGAUAUUUUCGAAGGUGUUAAACUCUCUAGCUCAUUGAAGAUCUUUCGUGCAAUCAAGGUAUCAGAUUCUUUAUUACGCCAUGAUCUAAUAGCAUUCUUAUAUUGGUGUCAUAUAUGCUUGUUGUUUUCAUAUUCUUUACUAUUUCACUUAACUAUUAUGAUGACUCUCAUCGGUGCCUAGUUAUUUAUUUUGGAGUAAGUAGU